rnacentral:rRNA from 1 species
UACGAAGGGGGCGAGCGUUGUUCGGAUUUACUGGGCGUAAAGGGCGCGCAGGCGGCUCAUUUUGUCAGGCGUGAAGGCCCCGGGCUUAACCUGGGAGGUGCGUUUGAUACGGAUGGGCUAGAGUUCGGGAGAGGAGAGUGGAAUUCCCAGUGUAGAGGUGAAAUUCGUAGAUAUUGGGAAGAACACCGGUGGCGAAGGCGGCUCUCUGGACCGAGACUGACGCUGAGGCGCGAAAGCGUGGGGAGCAAACAGG